rnacentral:sRNA from 1 species
CUCACUACUAAGCUAUCUAUCACUGCUAAUCUAUCGCUGCCAACCUAUCUAUCGCUGCCAAUUUAUCUACCACUGCCAAUCUAUCUAUCACUGCUAAUCUAUUGCUGCUAAUCUAUCGCUGCUAAUCUAUCGCUGCCAACCUAUCUACCGCGGCGAAUCUAUCUAUUGCUGCCAACCAACCUACCACUGACAACCUAUCUAUCGCUGCCAAUCUAUCGCUGCCAAUCUAUCGCUGCCAACCUAUCUACCCCAGUGAAUCUAUCUAUCACUAUCAUUACUAGUUCAAAAUAGAACUAGAGCAUAAAUACACUAAACUUCUUUUGAUAGAUAAUGAUUUUUGGUAACACUCAUAGCAUUAUAUCAUCUAUAUAGGGUAAAUCAUGGUCCCAUUUGGUCCCAUUUUAACAAAAUGAGAUCAAAUGGAAUCAGAAUCAGUAAUUUAUAAGAAGAACAUGACCUGGGACUAGAUUUAUAAUAUAAACAGUGUAAAGUGACUAAUUUAAUAAACACUAUAUGAGACC